rnacentral:rRNA from 1 species
UACGUAGGGUGCAGGCGUUACUCGGAAUUACUGGGCGUAAAGCGUGCGUAGGCGGUUUGUUAAGACAGGUGUGAAAUCCCCGGGCUUAACCUGGGAACUGCGCUUGUUACUGGCAGACUUGAGUGUGGCAGAGGGGGGUGGAAUUCCAGGUGUAGCAGUGAAAUGCGUAGAUAUCUGGAGGAACACCGAUGGCGAAGGCAGCCCCCUGGGCUAACACUGACGCUGAUGCACGAAAGCGUGGGGAACAAACAGG